rnacentral:rRNA from 1 species
GGAAUAUUGCGCAAUGGGCGAAAGCCUGACGCAGCCACGCCGCGUGGAGGAAGACACCCCUAUGGGGCGUAAACUCCUUUUCUGUGAGAAGAACCCCCGGGUCGCCCGGGCUGACGGUACCACAGGAAUAAGCACCGGCCACCUCCGUGCCAGCCGCCGCGGUAAUACGGAGGGUGCAAGCGUUGUCCGGAAUCACUGGGUGUAAAGGGUGUGUAGGUGGGACUGUAAGUCAGAGGUGAAAGCCUGCGGCUCAACCGUAGAAUUGCCUUUGAUACUGCAGUUCUUGAGUCCUGGAGAGGCCGCCAGAAUUCGUGGUGUAGCGGUGAAAUGCGUAGAUAUCACGAGGAAUACCAGAGGCGUAGGCGGGUGGCUGGACAGGUACUGACACUGAGGCACGAAAGCGUGGGGAGCGAA